rnacentral:rRNA from 1 species
UGGGGAAUAUUGGGCAAUGGAGGAAACUCUGACCCAGCCAUGCCGCGUGGGUGAUUGAAGGUCUUCGGAUUGUAAAGCCCUUUCAGCGGGGACGAUGAUGACGGUACCCGCAGAAGAAGCCCCGGCUAACUUCGUGCCAGCAGCCGCGGUAAUACGAAGGGGGCUAGCGUUGUUCGGAUUUACUGGGCGUAAAGGGCGCGUAGGCGGCCCGUUUAGUCAGGCGUGAAAUGCCCGAGCUCAACUCGGGGAACGACGCAUGAAACUGGCAAGCUAGAGUACCAAAGAGGGUGGUGGAAUUCCCGGUGUAGCGGUGAAAUGCGUAGAUAUCGGGAGGAACCCCAGAGGCGAAAAGCGGCGUCCUGGCUCGCAACUGACGUUCAGACACGACAGCAUGGGGAGCAAACGGGAUUAGAUACCCUUGUAGUCCCUGAGCGGGCUGGCAAGGCGCAU